UUGACGUUAACUACAGAAGAAGCACCGGCUAACUCCGUGCCAGCAGCCGCGGUAAUACGGAGGGUGCGAGCGUUAAUCGGAAUAACUGGGCGUAAAGGGCACGCAGGCGGUGACUUAAGUGAGGUGUGAAAGCCCCGGGCUUAACCUGGGAAUUGCAUUUCAUACUGGGUCGCUAGAGUACUUUAGGGAGGGGUAGAAUUCCACGUGUAGCGGUGAAAUGCGUAGAG
rnacentral:rRNA from 1 species